AGGGGGGUGUUUCAUCAACUAAAAUCGAUUUCGAUUUUAAAAAUCAAUUUUAAGGCCGAAUCAGUUUUAGCUUAAAACCGAUACGUGUGAGCUCUUUCAUCAAAUCGAUUUUAAGCUAAAAUAGAUUUUUAGGUGUCUGCAAUCAAGGCUAGUCAAUUUGGGGUAAAUCGAUCACAAAAUUGCUUGCUAAACUACUGCCAGAGAGUCCUUGAAAAAAGUCAGACUCAAAGAUGGAGUGGACCUCAAGACUCAAAAGUUCUCUUCUGCCGUGUCUCUACUCUCUACAGUCUUGGACUUCUCAUUCUACUACUAAUUUCUACCUCGGCCUCUGGCUCAAUAAGGAAAGGGUUUGGAUAUGCAGAAUGUACUCAAACUCAAUGUCUAGGUGUACAGCUAUAGACUCUAGACUAGAUCCUACUGUGCUAAUAGCGGCCUUGUGAAGUGAUCUUUUUACUAGUAAAAAUUGCACACCAAUAUUUAAACAAGUGAAAGGUUGCAAAAUAAAGAGCUAUGGCAUCUUCAUGUACUGCUAGUUCAUGACAUAUGGACUUUUAUUGUCCAUCUCUUCAAAUUGAAAAGACUGCAGAGCCUGAAUUACCUGCAACGUUAUGCUUCCUAUGAAACAUCAGCCAGCCCACAGAUAGAAGCUCCCUUUUCCAGCUUUAAGCAAGAGAGACCACAAUGAGAUACAGAUCUUGGUAUCAUGGACUGGUCACUUUUACAACCAACACUACUUGUAAAAUAAGAUUUACAAAUUAAUUCCUAAGCUAUUUCAAAGCUGAUAGAAAAGAAUUGAUGAUUAAUUUCAUAUAGACAAACUAUUGUAUCAAGAAAAUCACAUUCUCACCGACUGCGUGACCUAGCUAGAUGACAAUGUAUAUCAUCCAUAGAUUAACAAACAUAUGAGUAACAGAAAUAUUUGUGACAAGUAUUACUCUUUUAAUCUCCUUAAAAGUAACUCGAAUAGAGAGUGGCAGAUAUCAGCUGCAGUAGUUUUAACAACUGGCUGAUACUUUCAUAGUAGCACUUUCAUUUGUGUCUUUUAAAAUGUUCUUAUUGUAUCCCUUGAAUGUAUUUGCUAUGCUCAUCAUUUACAAAACGUAGAUUUCAUUCAUUAAAGCAUAAGCAUAUUGAUUAGACAUUAAAA